rnacentral:rRNA from 1 species
GCGCACCAGGCGAGAAAAACUCUGCAAUGCGCGAAAGCGCGACAGGGUUACCCCCGAGUGUCGUCCGCUGAGGACGACUUUUCCCCAGUGUAGAUAGCUGGGGGAAUAAGGAGAGGGCAAGUCUGGUGUCAGCCGCCGCGGUAAUACCAGCUCUCCGAGUGGUGGGGACGCUUAUUGGGCCUAAAGCAUCCGUAGCCGGUCUAACAAGUCCCUUGUUAAAUCCAGCGAUUCAAUCGCUUGACUGCAAGGGAUACUGUUAGACUAGGGGGCGGGAGAGGCCGACGGUAUUCCCGGGGUAGGGGUGAAAAGUCCUAUAAUCCCGGGAGGACCACCAGUGGCGAAGGCUGUCGGCUAGAACGCGCCCGACGGUGAGGGAUGAAAGCU